rnacentral:tRNA from 1 species
GCCGAGGUGGUGGAAUUGGCAGACACGCUGUCUUGAGGGGGCAGUGGGGCAACCCGUAUGAGUUCGAAUCUCAUCCUCGGCACCA